rnacentral:rRNA from 1 species
UCGGGAAUUUUGGGCAAUGGGCGAAAGCCUGACCCAGCAACGCCGCGUGAGGGAUGAAGUAUUUCGGUAUGUAAACCUCGAAAGAAUGGGAAGAAUAAAUGACGGUACCAUUUAUAAGCUCCGGCUAACUACGUGCCAGCAGCCGCGGUAAUACGUAGGGGGCAAGCGUUGUCCGGAUUUACUGGGUGUAAAGGGUGCUCAGGCGGAUUUGUAAGUCAGAGGUGAAAUCUUACAGCUUAACUGUGAAACUGCCUUUGAUACUGCAAGCCUAGAGUAUGGAAGAGAGCGAUGGAAUAUCUGGUGUAGCAGUGAAAUGCGUAGAUAUCAGAUAGAACACCAAUGGCGAAGGCAGUCACUUGGUCCAUUACUGACGCUAAAGCACGAAAGCGUGGGUAGCAAACA